AUUCNAGACUGGACGGGUUACUCCUAAAUUUACCGGCGUCAUAAAACUGACACGUUUCCAUCGUAUUAAUAAUCAAAAAAUUAACUUUCGAACAUACUUCCCAACCUGCUCUAUUUUAGACAGAAAUAAAUUAAAUUUUAUUUUAAAUUGAAAACUCAGUUUUCCGAAUUUACUAAUAUUUUCUGCUCUUCUGGGAUAUCUAGAAAUAAAUUAAUUAUAAAACUAUUAAAUCCUAAUAAAAUUAAAUCUCAAAAUUAAUUUAAAAUAACCCCAUUAUAUUUCUAAUUUAAUUAAGAAAAAUAAAUAAUGUAACUAAAUACUUAAAUACUAGGUUAUAAUAACUAAUAUUCUAAUUCAAUGGAAUCCCUAUUGUCGCAUUAAAAAAACCUCUCGAGUAUAGCUAUUUUUUCAAACGCUGGAGCUACAACCUAAUUUUUAAUCGAACCCACGUCUUCGAGUUCUA
rnacentral:rRNA from 1 species